AUGGGAAAGAGUGUCCAGGCAGAAGGACCUCAAGGAACUGGAGACACUGGUGAUGACCGAAGCCCUGAGAACAGGGGAGCGCCGUGCAGCAUGAGGCUGGUGAGGAUCUCCCUCUCAAGUCUAAAACAUGAGAUAAUUAUGAGAACUUAUUGAACUACGCUUCAUGAAGUGGACAAGACAGAAGUUGGUGAGUACUCAGUUUACAGAGUGAAGAAGCUAGAGCUGGCAGACCCUGCUUAAGCCCCAGGCACCAUGAAUUAUGGCUUGCACAAUUAAAUGCCUAAUGCCUGUAAGAGGGCUGCAGUGGGAGGGAGGCAAGCAGCGGGAGAAAAGCAAGCACGAUUAGAGGCAAACUUCUCCAUCUCCCAGGGAGGCAGGUGAUGGAGAAGAUGCAGGCAGCUCAGUGGACCAUUUGGGCCCAUCAUAGGGAGACAGAAGUACAAAGCAGGGCACUGA
rnacentral:lncRNA from 1 species